rnacentral:rRNA from 1 species
UACGUAGGCAGCGAGCGUUUGUUCGGAGUUACUGGGCGUAAAGCGUGCGUAGGCGGUGUCUUAAGUUUGUUGUGAAAUCUCCCGGCUUAACCGGGAGGGUGCGGCGAAUACUGAGAUGCUGGAGUGCCGGAGAGGUAAGCGGAAUUCCUGGUGUAGCGGUGAAAUGCGUAGAUAUCAGGAGGAACACCUGCGGUGUAGACGGCUUACUGGACGGUAACUGACGCUGAGGCACGAAAAGCGUGGGUAGCAAACAGG